rnacentral:rRNA from 1 species
CACGUAGGCGGAUUUGUAAGUCAGGGGUGAAAUCCCGGGGCUCAACCUCGGAACUGCCUUUGAUACUGCAAAUCUCGAGUCCGGAAGAGGUGAGUGGAAUUCCUAGUGUAGAGGUGAAAUUCGUAGAUAUUAGGAAGAACACCAGUGGCGAAGGCGGCUCACUGGUCCGGUACUGACGCUGAGGUGCGAAAGCGUGGGGAGCAAACA